rnacentral:misc_RNA from 1 species
UCGCGCAAUAACGUUGACCUCAUCGUUGGCAAAUCCAUCGCGUCUCUGACUGACGGUGUAUUUGUUUGUGUGUUGUCACUGUAUCAACGCUUCCCACCCCUCAUCAGGAGAACUCGCCUAUCGACAACCAUAGACAGACGCGCACACAGGAACACAUCCCACUUUUCCUUUCGUCUCUUCCAGCAUCAGACAGGGGCGUCGUUGCCAUGUUCUUCUCCACCUACGUGCUCACGAAGAAGGGCCCGCUCGCCAAGGUUUGGCUUGCCGCGCACUGGGACAAGCGACUCACCCGCCAUGAAGUGAAGGUGGUUGACCUCAGUCAGACUAUCCUCCACAUUGUCCGCCCUGUCGUCCCGAUCGCCCUGCGCACGUCCGGCGAGCUGCUCGUCGGUGUCGUGCGCAUCUACGCACUGAAGGUGAAGCACCUGCUGAAGGAGGCGACCGAGGCGACGCUCUUCUUGCGUGUGACGACUCUCGCGACGAAGGGUAGCAAGGCGGGUGUCGCCGGUCAGCACCGCACCACCUCGAUCGACGGCGUCGUGGUGCCAGUGAAGGGCAGCGAUGUCGAGGCCGUGACGUUUGACUGGAACGCCGACGUCGCCGCGAAGCACGGCGCGGUGGCAGACGCUGCUGAGGCUCUUGGCGAGGGCCGUUUUAAUGCCAUCGCUGAUCUGCUGGGAAACAGCCACCGCAUCGAAGUCUCCGAGACAGACAAGGAGGAUGCCCUCCUGGCGUCGGCGUGGUACACAGUGCAGCCAACGUCGCAGGCGGCAGGCGACGAGCUUCACACCAUGCAGCAGGACUACGACGAGAUCGCUAAGAUGCGGGCGGACUUGAUGGCCUUCGGCGAGCGCGCCAGCGGCAGCGCCAGCACCAGUAAGAGCAAGUCGAGUCUGUCGAGUAUGGAGAAGGGCCGUGGCAGCGUCGCCGUUGAUGUGGACGGCAUGGCGUUCCCCGCUGUCGGCGAUGAGCUGGAUAUUGGCGUCCCGCUCCCUGACGAGCUACCGCCGGGCUUCCCUGCUCUGGACGGGCAGGUGCCGGCGGGCAUGAUACCAACCGACCCGUUCCUGCUGCCGGACAUGAUGAACAUGAACGACGAGGCGGUGGCGGCGGCGCAGCGGUCACGCCCAGGUCGAAAGAUGCGGCCGGUGAACGUGUGCGACCUCGACUCCACGACUCUAUCACGCGAGGCCUUCGAGAAGUGCAUCGCAGACCGCAGCGACAUUCUCAACAGCGAGCCGCGCCGUGGUCCCUACGACGCGCAGGAGGAGGCUGAUCGCUAUACCGUGACGGGGUCCGCCAACGCGGCGAACGCGGUUGCUACUAACCCCGCGAUGGACGCGGCGCCUCUCUCUGGGGUUCUGAACCCGGCGCUUCGCCUCGCAUACGCGACAGCGCUGCGGCAGAGCGCCGAGGAAGCUGUCGCGAUGGCGGCGCAGGCGUUUCGGGAGUCGAUGGCACGGCGAAGCGAAGUCCCUGCCGGCGUCGGGGGCGCCCUCGAGGCAGACGAUGCGCAGGUUGCCGCGGCGGAUCUGGACGGCAGCUCCACGUUGCUGCCGGAAGAGGAGGUGGCGCAGCAGCGUCGCAAGCGCGGCCGCGACGACAGUUACGGAGUCGAUGACUCGACGAUGGCUACGGGUGUGUCGGCCAGUGCUCAGCAGACGCUGGAGCGCAUUCGAAUGGAGCUGUCGUUGCGCGCUGCGCGUGACCGCAAGAAGCCCCGCACGCAGUCGGUCGCCUCUCUCGUUGGUGCGAGCUGCGCGUUGCGGGAGGUGUGCCGUGGUCUACGCCGUCGCGAUGCCGCGCGCACGUUUGUGGACGUCCUCGCACUGGCAUCGAAACAGUACGUGAGCGCACAGCAGGCGCCGGGGUCUGAUGAGGUGCAGGUGACCCUGAACGAGUCGGCCCUGCGUCUGUUGGCUGCGGCGUGAGAGCGGCGUUAGAGGUGGGAUGAUCGACGAGAGCGAAGCUGCCGCGCUAGCCCCUUGUGUACUGCGCUGUGUGUGUGUGCGUCGCAUGCUCGCCUGUCUCGCUCUCCAUAAACCAUCGCGCCGUUCAAGAGCACUCUCAUUAUCAUAAUUAUCUCCCCUCAACUGCUAGUGCUACGGGUGCGCGGUGUUUCCCGUGCUGCUGUUGCCGCGGUGACUGGUGCUGGCUGACCUUCGCCCCGCACUGGCCACAUUGUCCUUCCGUUCCACCCGCUGUCCCCCACCCCCCACUCUCUCCAGCUGAAUGCUGCUUUGUUCUUGUUGUUUUCUUCUUCCAUAGAGCACCACCGCGAUGCGGGGCGGGGAGGGGUGGCACCGAUGUGGGUGCUCGUUGCUUAGCCGACCUGGUCCCCCCGCCUCAGGAGCUUGUUCUCUGUCUAUGGGUGUCUGUCUAUCUCCCUUUCUCUGCAUGUGUGUAUGCGCGCCAGAUCUUGAGGCGGUGGUGGUGGUGGGUGGAGGGCGGAGAGAUAGAGAGAGGGAGGGGGACGGAGGGUGCGUGAUGUCCCUCUCGUUGAUGGCCGACGGAGUCCACCUCCUCCCUCCUUUUCUUCAGCGCACACCCACACGCGCAGGGCAACCACAACUCUCUUGAAACCAUAGAAGCAGCUUUACGCACAUGCAUAUACGCACGUGCUUGUGAAAUCCAUCAUCAGAUCUAUGUGCACUGUGCUUGCAAAAGCGGAAUAGACCGGCUUGUCUGUGAUGAGCUCAUCAGAUACGCACACGCACACGUCUGCACAUGCACAUACAAGUCCCCUCCCUCCCCGUGUACACACGCCCAUGCUGGGGCCUCCCUCAUAGACAUGCGUGUCUUAUUUUCGAUUGAUUAUUCUCAAGCCCCAUUGCGGUAUACAUGUGUAUGUAUGCAUAUAUACACAUAUGCAUACGUACGUAUGCGUGUAUCUUUUUCCGUCUCGUGUGUUGAUUUCCUUUGGCUUAGGGGGUGCGCUCAUGUUGCGCACUUCUCUGUGAUGUUUGUGCUUGUCUUUGCGUGUCGCUUCUUUUGGUCUUACUUCUCAUUGUCUUUUGGUGUUGAUGCGCGUGCGCGAGCGCUGCGAGGCGGUGCUGACGGUGGCGAACAACCGAACCUGGCGAGAAGAAGGAAGGGGGAGGAUGAUCUUCAAGAGAGAGGGAGAGCGAGCAAGGAGGCACGUCGUGCUUGCGUGUACAUGUGGACUUCUCCACAGCUACACACGCAUACAUACACGCACACACACCCACAGAGGUAUACAGACAGACAGGCCGCUUCACACGUCUUUUGCGCACAACUCUUUGACUCUCUCGUGCCCUCUCUCCCCCCCUCUACGCGCCUAAUGAAUGCCGGCUGCGUCAUCUCCGGUCGGUCGCUUCAAUUUUUUUGUUGUUUCUUGAACUUUUAUGUUCUGGGCUUCACGCACCAUCACGCUCCCUCUCUCUUCACCCGGUAGCGUCUGCGCGUGUUUCUCUCAAUCGCUCGCUUGCCCUCUGCAUGUGUGUGUGUGUGUGCAUGGAGUGCGUCUUAUCCUUCGCGACUGAUUCUUCUUUCUUGUCUCUCUCCGUCGACCUUAAGUUCCACAUGCACACACACACACACACACACUCAGAU